GACGAACGCUGGCGGCGUGCUUAACACAUGCAAGUCGAACGGAAAGGCCCUGCUUGCAGGGUGCUCGAGUGGCGAACGGGUGAGUAACACGUGGGUGAUCUGCCCCUUACUUUGGGAUAAGCCUGGGAAACUGGGUCUAAUACUGGAUAGGACCAUGCUGUAGGUGGUGUGGUGGAAAGAUUAGUUUCGGUAAGGGAUGAGCUCGCGGCCUAUCAGCUUGUUGGUGGGGUAAUGGCCUACCAAGGCGUCGACGGGUAGCCGGCCUGAGAGGGUGGACGGCCACAUUGGGACUGAGAUACGGCCCAGACACCGACGGGAGGCAGCAGUGGGGAAUAUUGCACAAUGGGCGCAAGGCUGAUGCAGCGAGUCCGCGUGGGGGAUGACGGCCUUCGGGUUGUAGACUCCUUUCAGCCAUGACGAAGCCUUCGGGUGACGGUAGUGGUAGAAGAAGCACCGGCUAACUACGUG
rnacentral:rRNA from 1 species